GUGGGGAAUAUUGGUCAAUGGGCGGGAGCCUGAACCAGCCAAGUCGCGUGAAGGAAGAAGGAUCUAUGGUUCGUAAACUUCUUUUGCAGGGGAAUAAAGUGCAGGACGUGUCCUGUUUUGUAUGUACCCUGAGAAUAAGGAUCGGCUAACUCCGUGCCAGCAGCCGCGGUAAUACGGAGGAUCCGAGCGUUAUCCGGAUUUAUUGGGUUUAAAGGGUGCGUAGGUGGUUUGAUGAGUCAGCGGUGAAAGUUUGCAGCUUAACUGUAGAAAUGCCGUUGAAACUGUCGGACUUGAGUGUAAAUGAGGUAGGCGGAAUGCGUGGUGUAGCGGUGAAAUGCAUAGAUAUCACGCAGAACUCCGAUUGCGAAGGCAGCUUACUAAGCUACAACUGACACUGAAGCACGAAAGCGUGGGGAUCAAACAGGAUUAGAAACCCGAGUAGUCC
rnacentral:rRNA from 1 species